rnacentral:rRNA from 1 species
ACGGGUGAGUAACACGUGGGAACGUACCUUUUGGUUCGGAAUAAUCCAGGGAAACUUGGACUAGUACCGGAUACGCCCUUCGGGGGAAAGAUUUAUCGCCGAGAGAUCGGCCCGCGUCUGAUUAGCUAGUUGGUGAGGUAAAGGCUCAGCUCCUUAACUAUCAGUAGCUGGUCUGAGAGGAUGAUCAGCCACAUUGGGACUGAAACACGGCCCAAACUCCUACGGGAGGCAGCAGUGGGGAAUAUUGGACAAUGGGCGCAAGCCUGAUCCAGCCAUGCCGCGUGAGUGAUGAAGGCCUUAGGGUUGUAAAGCUCUUUUGUCCGGGAAGAUAAUGACUGUACCGGAAGAAUAAGCCCCGGCUAACUUCGUGCCAGCAGCCGCGGUAAUACGAAGGGGGCUAGCGUUGCUCGGAAUCACUGGGCGUAAAGGGCGCGUAGGCGGACUUUUAACUCGGAGGUGAAAGCCCAGGGCUCAACCCUGGAAUUGCCUUCGAUACUGGGAGUCUUGAGUUCGGAAGAGGUUGGUGGAACUGCGAGUGUAGAGGUGAAAUUCGUAGA